GAUGAAGAACGCAGCGAAAUGCGAUAAGUAAUGUGAAUUGCAGAAUUCAGUGAAUCAUCGAAUCUUUGAACGCACAUUGCGCCCGCCAGUAUUCUGGCGGGCAUGCCUGUUCGAGCGUCAUUACAACCCUCAGGCCCCCGGGCCUGGCGUUGGGGAUCGGCGGAGCCCCCCGUGGGCACACGCCGUCCCCCAAAUGCAGUGGCGGUCCCGCCGCAGCUUCCAUCGCGUAGUAGCUAACACCUCGCGACUGGAGAGCGGCGCGGCCACGCCGUAAAACACCCAACUCUUCUGAAGUUGACCUCGAAUCAGGUAGGAAUACCCGCUGAACUUAAGCAUAUCAAUAAGAGGA
rnacentral:misc_RNA from 1 species